CCCUUAGAUGUUCUGGGCAGCACGCGCGCUACAAUGGUCUUCGCAAACGGAUGCAUUCUCGAAGGAGAAUGCCAAUCUUGGAAUCUAUGCCUUGGUCGGGACAGUUGCUUGCAAUUUUUCGACUCGAACCAGGAAUUCCUUGUAAUCGUGAUUCAUCACAUCACGAUGAAUACGUCCCUGCCCUUUGUACACACCGCCCGUCGCUCCUACCGAUAGAAGAGUUAGGUGAAUUGUUUUGAUCGAUAAGAUUUGACUAUGGUCAACUCUCGUUGUGAAAUUCUGUGAAUCUGACUGUUUAGAGGAAGGAAAAGUCGUAACA
rnacentral:rRNA from 1 species